CUUCAUGCUAGCCAUUUUCUAAAGUUUUUGGAAACAAUGAUUGCUUGGAAGAUUAAAGAAGGUUUCAUCUCACCAAAAAUCAUAAGAAUCGUCCAUUUUGCCGUAACAGAGUCCAGCGAUCAACACCUUCAAUUACAAAAAUUUCUGAAGUGGUGCAAAUUUCCCUGUCAUUUAUCAGUAGAUAAUUUGGUUAAUUGCAGUUUUUUUUUUUUUAUAUUGUGGAAAAAGAUUUUAAUUUUCUAAUAUACCUUCGCGCAGUAUCGUAAUUUCAUACUUUUUAUUAAAAUCGUAAGCUCAGUUGAUCAUCUAUUUUACUUCGCUUCCAUCUUCCCGCAUUGGCCUAUUAACAAGGUAAAUGGAUUUGUUUUUGAUAUUGUCUAUAUUCCUUCCUUUACUAAAUUUUGUAUUCUCAGAAAUUAAUACGCAAUAUCAUUUGGUUUGUCAGGUAUUUAUCGUAACUUCGUAUGGAAGGAGAGAACCGAAAUUGGAACAACUGUGCUGCAAUCACAUGUGCUUUAUCCUCACUCAUUUUUUAUGAUCAUUAUUGUUGUUCCACAUCAUAAUUCGUCCCAACAUACCUAGGCUUGAUCAUUGGUUUCAUUUAGCAACGAUUAGUAGUGAGUAAAUAAGCUAGAGAAGAGCUACGAAAAAAAUAAGGAAAGACGGUACAGCGUUGUCGUGUACAAAAAUCUGCAAUUUCCAUCAUAAAAUUCUCAAAACUAAAGCAAAAAUGCAAGCGGAAAUCUACAUAUAUACAUAAACUAGAAUGUGACCGAAAAUUGGAAUGGCGACAAAAUGAUAUUUAAUUCUGCAAAAGAAAUAGUUCCCACGUUCGAAAUAUUAAGAAAAAACUCAAGCGAAACAACUCAAACAUACAACGACCCAACAUGCAUGACACAACAAUUUCAAUUAUCACAGUCUCUUACGUCUGAAUUAUCCGCAUCUCUUAUUACAUGCACAUUUACACCAUUAAGCUGUUGUUGCUGUAACUUCAUCUCUGAGAAAGUACUUUCAACGAGGGAGCAUAUCAACAAAGCACGUAAGUCAUUAACCUCUUAUUUUGAUUUUUUUUUGGUGAGAAUACGAUAAAGAAAAGAGAAUAGCAAUACAAAAGAAAGGUGAACAUAUGAUUUGAUAUUUGAAAUGAAAUUACUUAGAAUUCGUCAUUUUAAUAAUUUAAAUGAAUUGAAAGAUUAUGAAUGAAGGAAAUACAAUCAAAAAUUAAUAUGUCGUUUUUUUUCAAAUAUGAUUUGGCCACCUUUCUUUAAUCCCGAAUAAUUAUUUUGUUAUUCUCUUUGAUAAAUCUGUAUAGAGUUAUGUAUAAGCCUGUGAAUAUACUCUUAUUUAACUGCGAUAUGAGUAUUAAAUGGUGAUUUUGUUGACCUUUAAAUGUUUGAUGGGGAAAU